rnacentral:tRNA from 1 species
GGGGUUGUGGCUCAGUGGUAGAGCACUCUCCUAGCAUGGGUGAAGCACUGGGUUCGAUCCUCCACACCA